rnacentral:rRNA from 1 species
CCGCCUUCCAUGCAAGUCGAACGGCAGCAUAGGAGCUUGCUCCUGAUGGCGAGUGGCGAACGGGUGAGUAAUAUAUCGGAACGUGCCCUAGAGUGGGGGAUAACUAGUCGAAAGACUAGCUAAUACCGCAUACGAUCUACGGAUGAAAGUGGGGGAUCGCAAGACCUCAUGCUCCUGGAGCGGCCGAUAUCUGAUUAGCUAGUUGGUGGGGUAAAAGCCUACCAAGGCAACGAUCAGUAGCUGGUCUGAGAGGACGACCAGCCACACUGGGACUGAGACACGGCCCAGACUCCUACGGGAGGCAGCAGUGGGGAAUUUUGGACAAUGGGGGCAACCCUGAUCCAGCAAUGCCGCGUGAGUGAAGAAGGCCUUCGGGUUGUAAAGCUCUUUUGUCAGGGAAGAAACGGUAGUAGCUAAUAUCUAUUACUAAUGACGGUACCUGAAGAAUAAGCACCGGCUAACUACGUGCCAGCAGCCGCGGUAAUACGUAGGGUGCAAGCGUUAAUCGGAAUUACUGGGCGUAAAGCGUGCGCAGGCGGUUGUGUAAGUCAGAUGUGAAAUCCCCGGGCUCAACCUGGGAAUUGCAUUUGAGACUGCACGGCUAGAGUGUGUCAGAGGGGGGUAGAAUUCCACGUGUAGCAGUGAAAUGCGUAGAUAUGUGGAGGAAUACCGAUGGCGAAGGCAGCCCCCUGGGAUAACACUGACGCUCAUGCACGAAAGCGUGGGGAGCAAACAGGAUUAGAUACCCUGGUAGUCCACGCCCUAAACGAUGUCUACUAGUUGUCGGGUCUUAAUUGACUUGGUAACGCAGCUAACGCGUGAAGUAGACCGCCUGGGGAGUACGGUCGCAAGAUUAAAACUCAAAGGAAUUGACGGGGACCCGCACAAGCGGUGGAUGAUGUGGAUUAAUUCGAUGCAACGCGAAAAACCUUACCUACCCUUGACAUGGAUGGAAUCCUGAAGAGAUUUGGGAGUGCUCGAAAGAGAACCAUCACACAGGUGCUGCAUGGCUGUCGUCAGCUCGUGUCAUGAGAUGUUGGGUUAAGUCCCGCAACGAGCGCAACCCUUGUCAUUAGUUGCUACGAAAGGGCACUCUAAUGAGACUGCCGGUGACAAACCGGAGGAAGGUGGGGAUGACGUCAAGUCCUCAUGGCCCUUAUGGGUAGGGCUUCACACGUCAUACAAUGGUACAUACAGAGGGCCGCCAACCCGCGAGGGGGAGCUAAUCCCAGAAAGUGUAUCGUAGUCCGGAUUGGAGUCUGCAACUCGACUCCAUGAAGUUGGAAUCGCUAGUAAUCGCGGAUCAGCAUGUCGCGGUGAAUACGUUCCCGGGUCUUGUACACACCGCCCGUCACACCAUGGGAGCGGGUUUUACCAGAAGUGGGUAGCCUAACCGUAAGGAGGGCGCUCACACGAA